AUACGGAGGAUCCAAGCGUUAUCCGGAUUUAUUGGGUUUAAAGGGUGCGUAGGUGGUUUGAUAAGUCAGCGGUGAAAGUUUGCAGCUUAACUGUAAAAAUGCCGUUGAAACUGUCGGACUUGAGUGUAAAUGAGGUAGGCGGAAUGCGUGGUGUAGCGGUGAAAUGCAUAGAUAUCACGCAGAACUCCGAUUGCGAAGGCAGCUUACUAAGCUACAACUGACACUGAGGCACGAAAGCGUGGGGAGC
rnacentral:rRNA from 1 species